rnacentral:rRNA from 1 species
UGGGGAAUAUUGGACAAUGGGCGAAAGCCUGAUCCAGCCAUGCCGCGUGUGUGAUGAAGGCCUUAGGGUUGUAAAGCACUUUUGUCCGGGAAGAUAAUGACUGUACCGGAAGAAUAAGCCCCGGCUAACUUCGUGCCAGCAGCCGCGGUAAUACGAAGGGGGCUAGCGUUGCUCGGAAUCACUGGGCGUAAAGGGCGCGUAGGCGGACUCUUAAGUCGGGGGUGAAAGCCCAGGGCUCAACCCUGGAAUUGCCUUCGAUACUGAGAAUCUUGAGUUCGGAAGAGGUUGGUGGAACUGCGAGUGUAGAGGUGAAAUUCGUAGAUAUUCGCAAGAACACCAGUGGCGAAGGCGGCCAACUGGUCCGAUACUGACGCUGAGGCGCGAAAGCGUGGGGAGCAAACAGGAUUAGAUACCCCCGUAGUCCCUGAGCGGGCUGGCAAGGCGCAU